ACGACUAUUACAUAUCAGUGUAUAAUACAAAAUAUCCCGCAUUUGAUAAUCCAACGCUGCAAUUCUUGAUGAAAAUACAGUAUGCUACAUGAAAUCGGUUUAUUAGAUGGACAUGUGACCAAUAAAUUACAUCAGAUUAAAAACAAUCUAUUGGACAUCAUAGUUAUAACAGCACUGAAACAGAAUUAAGUUCAACAGAAAAUAAUUGUACACAUUUUGAACAAACAUUAACAACUGAUUAAUUGUUUCAAAUUAUAUCAAAUUUUGGAAUCAGACAUGCAUUUCCGAACUUAUACAUAGCCUAUAAGGCAUUACUUACCAUUUCAGCAACUUCUGUCUCUGCAGAACGAGCCUUUUCCAAAGUAAAUUAAUCAAAACAAGAUUACAUUCACCAACUGAACAACACAGAUGAGAGAGCCUUAUGAUACUAAGUUGUGAAAAAAAUAUAUCUAUUGACUAUAAUUUAGCCAUUAAUCAAUUUGCUUUAUCAUCUGAUUUGUUAAAAGAUUAUUUAAUUUUUAAAUAAAGUUAUGCAACAUAGAGUUAACAAUACUAUAGUAUAAAGUAUUUUAUUUAUUAAAUUUUAAUUUAUUAAAAAGGUUAUAACGAUUCAUAAAAAAAUACUUAUAAAUGUUAUAUAUAAAAAAUAACCAAGUACCUACUUAUAAUAUAUUUUUUGGUACCUGUCUGAAGAUAGAAGGUGUAAAUUUUGACCAUGCACUCAAACUGAACAAAAACAAAAUAAACAACUAACAUACUACCUACCAAACGGAACCAACCGGUUCAACUUAAGAAUUAUUAAACCAAUACGGUUUAGAUAUUUAUUGAGGAUAAGUAGUAUAGGACGCAAGACAAGAAGAACAAAAUCAAUAACGAUGGAUUUUAAAUCAAAGGCACAGUUCACAAAGCAUAGUCAGCCAAUCAAUCAUAAAACCAAAAAAAAAAAAACACUAUACUCAAACAU